CGGUGAAGGUGAACUGCCCACGACAACGUUUCCCCAAAUCUCAGUAAACAACAAAUUAAAAUAGAGAAGCUUCCAGAAUCACUUGGUCUCUGCUGUAUGAAUUGGAGUAACUUCAAAAGAAAGUACAACUGCCAUGGGGAGGAGCAGAAAGAGAGGAAAGCGUGCAGUCGGUGUAGAUAAAACAAAGUGCUGCGUGUAAGAUCCACCCUCUUACCUGCUUCACUGAAGGAGUAAACAGUGGCUUGGAACGCGUCCUUCCAGCCCAUCCAAGCAUCAUCUGCGUUCUGCAGCUCUUCAUAGUUAAUGAAGCACCUCCCUUUUGUUUCCUGCUAACCUAUACUCAUGCACUCUCUGUCCCCUCCUUUUUCUGUUCUACCCUUUUAGGAUUCAUGGAUUCUCCAGACUUACAAAACCAACACUGAAAGAAAAAAGGCUUAUAACAAUGUAAUCUUAUGCCUUGACUCAUCUGCGCUGCUCCAACUUCACAUGCGCUCUUACCCCAAAUGGAGCAAUGCCUAGUCUG